ACGCUGGCGGCGUGCCUAAUACAUGCAAGUAGAACGCUGAAGAGAGGAGCUUGCUCUUCUUGGAUGAGUUGCGAACGGGUGAGUAACGCGUAGGUAACCUGCCUUGUAGCGGGGGAUAACUAUUGGAAACGAUAGCUAAUACCGCAUAACAAUGGGUGACACAUGUCAUUUAUUUGAAAGGGGCAAUUGCUCCACUACAAGAUGGACCUGCGUUGUAUUAGCUAGUAGGUGAGGUAACGGCUCACCUAGGCGACGAUACAUAGCCGACCUGAGAGGGUGAUCGGCCACACUGGGACUGAGACACGGCCCAGACUCCUACGGGAGGCAGCAGUAGGGAAUCUUCGGCAAUGGGGGCAACCCUGACCGAGCAACGCCGCGUGAGUGAAGAAGGUUUUCGGAUCGUAAAGCUCUGUUGUAAGUCAAGAACGAGUGUGAGAGUGGAAAGUUCACACUGUGACGGUAGCUUACCAGAAAGGGACGGCUAACUACGUGCCAGCAGCCGCGGUAAUACGUAGGUCCCGAGCGUUGUCCGGAUUUAUUGGGCGUAAAGCGAGCGCAGGCGGUUUGAUAAGUCUGAAGUUAAAGGCUGUGGCUCAACCAUAGUUCGCUUUGGAAACUGUCAAACUUGAGUGCAGAAGGGGAGAGUGGAAUUCCAUGUGUAGCGGUGAAAUGCGUAGAUAUGUGGAGGAACACCGGUGGCGAAAGCGGCUCUCUGGUCUGUAACUGACGCUGAGGCUCGAAAGCGUGGGGAGCGAACAGGAUUAGAUACCCUGGUAGUCCACGCCGUAAACGAUGAGUGCUAGGUGUUGGAUCCUUUCCGGGAUUCAGUGCCGCAGCUAACGCAUUAAGCACUCCGCCUGGGGAGUACGACCGCAAGGUUGAAACUCAAAGGAAUUGACGGGGGCCCGCA
rnacentral:rRNA from 1 species